rnacentral:rRNA from 1 species
GAUGAACGCUGGCGGCGUGCCUAACACAUGCAAGUCGAGCGAUUCUCUUCGGAGAAGAGCGGCGGACGGGUGAGUAACGCGUGGGUAACCUGCCUCAUACACAUGGAUAACAUACCGAAAGGUAUGCUAAUACAAGAUGAUAUAAGAGAUUCGCAUGGAUUUCUUAUCAAAGCUCCGGCGGUAUGAGAUGGACCCGCGUCUGGUUAGCUAGUUGGUAAGGUAACGGAUUAACAAGGCGACGAUCAGUAGCCGACCUGAGAGGGUGAUCCGCCACAUUGAAACUACUGCACGGUCCAGACUCCUCCUGGAGGCAGCAGUGGGCAAUAUUGCACAAUGGGCGAAAGCCUGAUGCAGCAACGCCGCGUGAGCGAUGAAGGCCUUCGGGUCGUAAAGCCCUGUCCUCAAGGAAGAUAAUGACGGUACUUGAGGAGGAAGCCCCGGCUAACUACGUGCCAGCCGCCGCAGUAAGAC